ACAUCCAGCGAACUUGGCAGAGAUGCCUUGGUGCCUUCGGGAACGCUGAGACAGGUGCUGCAUGGCUGUCGUCAGCUCGUGUUGUGAAAUGUUGGGUUAAGUCCCGCAACGAGCGCAACCCUUAUCCUUUGUUGCCAGCGAUUCGGUCGGGAACUCAAAGGAGACUGCCGGUGAUAAACCGGAGGAAGGUGGGGAUGACGUCAAGUCAUCAUGGCCCUUACGAGUAGGGCUACACACGUGCUACAAUGGCGCAUACAAAGAGAAGCGACCUCGCGAGAGCAAGCGGACCUCAUAAAGUGCGUCGUAGUCCGGAUCGGAGUCUGCAACUCGACUCCGUGAAGUUGGAAUCGCUAGUAAUCGUGGAUCAGAAUGCCACGGUGAAUACGUUCCCGGGCCUUGUACACACCGCCCGUCACACCAUGGGAGUGGGUUGCAAAAGAAGUAGGUAGCUUAACCUUCGGGAGGGCGCUUACCACUUUGUGAUUCAUGACUGGGGUGAAGUCGUAACAAGGUAAGCGUAGCGAG
rnacentral:rRNA from 1 species